GUGGCUGCACACUUUGGCAGCACAUAUACUAAAAUUGGAAAAAUACCCAAAAGAUUAGCAUGGUUUCUUGCAAAGGUGACACACACAUUUAUGAAGCUUUCUAUAUUUUU
ensembl:snRNA U6 U6 spliceosomal RNA